rnacentral:rRNA from 1 species
CUCAGGAUGAACGCUAGCUACAGGCUUAACACAUGCAAGUCGAGGGGCAGCAUGAAGUUGCUUGCAAACUUGAUGGCGACCGGCGCACGGGUGAGUAACGCGUAUCCAACCUGGCCCUUAGUAGGGGAUAGCCCGGCGAAAGUCGGAUUAAUACCCUAUGUUUUCCUAUGAGGACAUCUGAGCAGGAACAAAGAUUUAUCGCUAAGGGAUGGGGAUGCGUCUGAUUAGCUUGUCGGCGGGGUAACGGCCCACCGAGGCUACGAUCAGUAGGGGUUCUGAGAGGAAGGUCCCCCACAUUGGUACUGAGACACGGACCAAACUCCUACGGGAGGCAGCAGUGAGGAAUAUUGGUCAAUGGGCGAGAGCCUGAACCAGCCAAGUAGCGUGCAGGAUGAACCUGCCCUAUGGGUUGUAAACUGCUUUUAUGCGGGAAUAAAGUGCAUCACGUGUGGUGUUUUGUAUGUACCGCAUGAAUAAGGACCGGCUAAUUCCGUGCCAGCAGCCGC